UUAAGUUCAGCGGGUGGUCCUACCUGAUUUGAGGUCAAGUUUAUCAAAUCCAACUCUCGCAGCAGCAAAACCCUCAACUGGAUGCAGAUAUGUAUCACAUCUCGACGGAGAGGGUCGUUCACCGCUCAUGUAUUUCAGGGGAGCAGACCACAAGUUCAGAGCCUGUAACCCCCAAAUCCAAGCCACGACCUCACGGCGUG
rnacentral:misc_RNA from 1 species